GCGGAUGUGGUGAAAUGGUAUACACGAUAGGUUUAGGACCUAUUGCCGUAAGGCGUGGAGGUUCAAGUCCUCUCAUCCGCACAA
rnacentral:tRNA from 2 species